rnacentral:rRNA from 1 species
CUACGGGUCGCAGCAGUGGGGAAUAUUGCACAAUGGAGGAAACUCUGAUGCAGCAACGCCGCGUGGAGGAUGACACUUUUCGGAGCGUAAACUCCUUUUAUAUAGGAAGAAGAUGACGGUACUAUAUGAAUAAGCGCCGGCUAACUCCGUGCCAGCAGCCGCGGUAAUACGGAGGGCGCAAGCGUUACUCGGAAUCACUGGGCGUAAAGAGCGUGUAGGCGGAUUAAAAAGUCAGAAGUGAAAUCCUAUAGCUUAACUAUAGAACUGCUUCUGAAACUCUUAAGCUAGAAUAUGGGAGAGGUAGAUGGAAUUUCUGGUGUAGGGGUAAAAUCCGUAGAGAUCAGAAGGAAUACCGAUUGCGAAGGCGAUCUACUAGAACAUUAUUGACGCUGAGACGCGAAAGCGUGGGGAGCAAACAGGAUUAGAUACCCGUGUAGUC